rnacentral:rRNA from 1 species
CACGUAGGGCGCAAGCGUUGUCCGGAAUUAUUGGGCGUAAAGAGCUCGUAGGCGGUCUGUUGCGUCCGCUGUGAAAACUCGGGGCUUAACCCCGAGCCUGCAGUGGAUACGGGCAGACUAGAGGUAGGUAGGGGAGAAUGGAAUUCCGGUGUAGCGGUGAAAUGCGCAGAUAUCGGGAGGAACACCGGUGGCGAAGGCGGUUCUACUGGGCCU